UGCAGUCGAGCGGAUGAGUGGAGCUUGCUCCAUGAUUCAGCGGCGGACGGGUGAGUAAUGCCUAGGAAUCUGCCUGGUAGUGGGGGAUAACGUUUCGAAAGGAACGCUAAUACCGCAUACGUCCUACGGGAGAAAGUGGGGGAUCUUCGGACCUCACGCUAUCAGAUGAGCCUAGGUCGGAUUAGCUAGUUGGUGGGGUAAUGGCCCACCAAGGCGACGAUCCGUAACUGGUCUGAGAGGAUGAUCAGUCACACUGGAACUGAGACACGGUCCAGACUCCUACGGGAGGCAGCAGUGGGGAAUAUUGGACAAUGGGCGAAAGCCUGAUCCAGCCAUGCCGCGUGUGUGAAGAAGGUCUUCGGAUUGUAAAGCACUUUAAGUUGGGAGGAAGGGCAGUAAGUUAAUACCUUGCUGUUUUGACGUUACCAACAGAAUAAGCACCGGCUAACUUCGUGCCAGCAGCCGCGGUAAUACGAAGGGUGCAAGCGUUAAUCGGAAUUACUGGGCGUAAAGCGCGCGUAGGUGGUUCAGCAAGUUGGAUGUGAAAGCCCCGGGCUCAACCUGGGAAUUGCAUCCAAAACUACUGAGCUAGAGUACGGUAGAGGGUGGUGGAAUUUCCUGUGUAGCGGUGAAAUGCGUAGAUAUAGGAAGGAACACCAGUGGCGAAGGCGACCACCUGGACUGAUACUGACACUGAGGUGCGAAAGCGUGGGGAGCAAACAGGAUUAGAUACCCUGGUAGUCCACGCCGUAAACGAUGUCGACUAGCCGUUGGGAUCCUUGAGAUCUUAGUGGCGCAGCUAACGCGAUAAGUCGACCGCCUGGGGAGUACGGCCGCAAGGUUAAAACUCAAAUGAAUUGACGGGGGCCCGCAC
rnacentral:rRNA from 1 species